GUCAUAAUGCCCUCACGGUCCUAUGACAUCUCACUGCACCCCAGCCAUACUCGCCAUCUUACCAUUCUUCUUCUUUUUUGUAAUAAAAACUUUUUACUUUCUUUUUAGUUGACAGAUAAUAAUUGCGUAUAUUUAUGGAGUACAAUGUGAUGUUUUGAUAUAUGUAUGCAUGAGGGAAUGAUUAAAUCAAGCUAAUUAACAUAUUCAUCACUUCAUCUACUCAUCACUUUCUUGUGGUGAAAAUGUUUCAGAUAUACUCUUUAGUAGUUUUCAGGUGUACAGUCGCUGUGGUUUGAGUGCUUUUGUCUUCUCUAAAUUUGAUGUUGACACUUAGUGCCCAGUACAAUGUUACUGGGAGGUGGAGCCUAAUGGGGAUGUUUAAUGGAUUAAUGCCAUUAUAAAAAGGGCUUGCAGGAAUGGGUUCCUUCUCUUUUGCUUUUCUGCCAUAUGAUGACAAAGUGUUCCUCCUCUCUGGAGGAUGCAGCAACAGGCACCAUCUUUGAAGCAGAGAGACCAGGCCCUAACCUUCUGGUGCCUUGAUCUUGGACUUCUCAGCUUCCAGAACUGUGAGAUAAUAAAUUUCUGUUCAUUACAAAUUACCCCAUCUGUGGUAUUCUGUUAUAGCAACACAAAAUGGACUAAGACAACAGUAUACUGUUAUGAACUAUGGUCACCAUGCUGUGCACUAGAUCACAAAAACUUAUUUCUACUGUUUAACUGAAACUUUGUACAUUUUGACUAACAUCUCCCUUUUUCCCAUCAUCCCAUCCCAUUCUUACUAUCGUUGAAGAUGGAGUAUGCCAAGUAGUCCUGAGCCAUGUCCUCACCUCGGGGUGAGCACCUGUUGUUCCUGUGCCUGGAAUGCUCUCCUAGACAUUUGCGUGGCUAGCUCCCUCUUUUCAUUCAGAUCUCAGCUCAUUGUCAUCUCAGAGAGGCCCUCCUUGCCCUCCUUCUACCUCCUGCCUUAGGUAUACUCUGCCACCUUCUGUCAUGGGCUGAAUUGUGUCCCCC
rnacentral:lncRNA from 10 species